rnacentral:lncRNA from 1 species
AGGAUAAAAAUCAGUGUCCCAACAUUUCAUACAAAUAUAAACCUGAUUCAAGUUUCCCUUUCUUGUCUGACUCUAGAACCUUUCUUCUAAACUAUGGAACCAUGUAUCUUCUAUUUUCCGAAACUAGAACUAACAGUUGUCAGACCAAAGAAUUACAUCAAACUGGGGAAAGCUUUCUAAAACAAAAAAUUAAGAUACCAAUAUCACCGUGACUUGAAGCAAAAUAUUAAUCAGAACCUAAAGAGAGCUAGGAUGCUGCUAAUUAACUUGCAGACCUUGGAGCUAUUGGUGUUGUGGAACAAGCACUCACAGGAUAACAUGAUGCUCAAUUACAUACGUAUAGCAAACCAUUACGUAUAGCAAACCAUUCAUAAAACUAUUGACACAAGUAUGAGCGCAAGUCCAGAAGUUAAUAUAUGUUCCUGACCAAAAAAAAAAAAAAUCGAUUGACGUGCACACGAGUGCAUGCCAAAAGGUAAUUUGCAGCCUGUCUGAUCAUGUAGUAGAGCCCUAUCAUGCAAAACAUAGGCUAGCCAGGUUUUGUCAUAUUUGAAAAUAAUGGUAAAAUAAUGGUAGAGGUAGAGCUGUAAUGCUGAAGUUAUUUUUGUUGUACAAAGUUGUUCUGCUUUGUGAAUAAGCAAGGGAAAUAGUGUGAUUUUAUAUAGGUGGAAUGGAAGGUGGAAGCCAUAUAUACAAGCAAUUACUAAUUUCCCUGAUCCCUUUUGCCAGUUGGGGCCAUAUAUGUGUGCUUAUAGUUCGGUUUGGGAUACAUAAUUGUGAUCAUAGCUAGAUCUAUUUAAUAUUAUUAUUUUAACCGUAUCUACC